rnacentral:rRNA from 1 species
CAGCAGCCACGGUAAUACGAAGGGUGCAAGCGUUACUCGGAAUUACUGGGCGUAAAGCGUGCGUAGGUGGUGGUUUAAGUCCGUUGUGAAAGCCCUGGGCUCAACCUGGGAAUUGCAGUGGAUACUGGGUCACUAGAGUGUGGUAGAGGAUAGUGGAAUUUCCGGUGUAGCAGUGAAAUGCGUAGAGAUCGGAAGGAACAUCUGUGGCGAAGGCGACUAUCUGGGCCAACACUGACACUGAGGCACGAAAGCGUGGGGAGCAAACAGGAUUAGAUACCCGAGUAGUCCCUGUCUCUUAUAC